GUAGGUGGCAAGCGUUGUCCGGAAUUAUUGGGCGUAAAGCGCGCGCAGGCGGUUCUUUAAGUCUGAUGUGAAAGCCCACGGCUCAACCGUGGAGGGUCAUUGGAAACUGGAGAACUUGAGUACAGAAGAGGAAAGCGGAAUUCCACGUGUAGCGGUGAAAUGCGUAGAGAUGUGGAGGAACACCAGUGGCGAAGGCGGCUUUCUGGUCUGUAACUGACGCUGAGGCGCGAAAGCGUGGGGAGCAAACAGGAUUAGAUACCCUGGUAGUCCACGCCGUAAACGAUGAGUGCUAAGUGUUAGGGGGGUUUCCGCCCCCCUUAGCGCUGCAGCUAACGCAUUAAGCACUCCGCCUGGGAGUACGGCCGCAAGGCUG
rnacentral:rRNA from 1 species